rnacentral:lncRNA from 1 species
UUGCAGAAAUAAGUGUUUGUAAGAAGUUUUACUAUAGGAAAGUCUACUUUUUUAAGCAGCAAAGUGUUCUGAGGAGUUGGUGUGUGAUGCCAAAGAGCUCAACGGGGCCUCUCAUGGUGAGCGUGGAUAGAUACGUGAUGUCUGGUCAUGUAGUGAGGGCCUUGGGGGCUUGCCUUUGAAUGCUAUAGCAUAUUUAGUGUGAGGACUGGGGACCCAGUAAGAUUUAGAGAGCAAUAUAGCAAAACCUGUCAUCUUGGACCUUUUUCACAGCUGAUGCUAUCAUAAUUUUGAAGGAUUUUUAAGUAAAACAGCAGUGUACAUAUGUGUGUACAGGACACCAAGACUCGCAGGCAGGCCUGAGAGCCCCAGCCACUCUUCCGGCCCUCGGCGGACCUGCAGAUGACCUGGAGUUCCUGAUUCAGGUCCCUGUCUGCAGCCCGGGCUGCCUGGGCCACAGCCUGCCAGUGUGGGCAGUGUGACGAAAGGCGGCCUGUACUGCCCUAAGAAAUCUGAUGUAAAGUUUUUGUAUAUUUCAUAUUCCACCCACCAGAUUCUGCUUCCAUUUAAUAAAACCCUUUUU